AGUUCGAGCUUCCUGGCUGCUUUGUUUACCUCAGCAAUCCUGGGCAAUGGCGGGCGCCCCUCCCCGAGCCUCGCUGCAGCCUUGCAGCGUGAUCUCAGACUGCUGUGCUAGCAAUCAGCGAGACUCCGUGGGCAUAGGACCCUCCGAGCCAGGUGAAUAAAUAAAGUGACACUGAAAUAAAUUAUUUUUCCUGCUGGCCAAGAACAGAGUCAACCUUCCUUAAUAAGCUAUCAGAAUAUUCUGAAGAGAAGAAUUUGAUCUUUCUACUCUACUGAAUGAUUCACAUAUAUCACCUUGGGCAUCCCUUUUGGGGGAAACUUCACAGAGUAGACGUCGUCCUGGAAUGUGUGAGUGCACCUGGCUGAGAAUGGGGAUGGAAGAACAGAAACAAGUACCCGGAGCCAAGAAGAAAGGCUGAAUACGGGAGGUCCCGAGCACAUAUGCAAUCACCAAAUAAAGCAGGCAAGGGUUUCUUUUUUCCUGUGGAAGCAUCGCAAAAAAGGUGAGUCCUGAGGUCAAUUUUAUAGGAGGGGAGACUUUGGCAGGAGCGUGCUAAGUCUCCGGACGAGGCAGGGAAUGUGUGAGACUAGAAAAGGUGAAUCACAUCCUGGAGAAAGUAAACAAUUGGUUUCUGUGCCCUCUAUGUCCAGGCACAUCUAAUUAAGUUUAUUCCCCUUUCCAGAAGAGGGGAAAACAUGGGGAAAAGGAGGACACCUAUGAUCUCAUAAAUCUUUCCUGCCCACCCGUUUAUACUACAGCCUUUCUCCUUGGCUCCAGUUCAACUUCUCAGAUGUCCUCUAGUGGUUGGUGCUCCUGCUCAUAUCACACCAGGUAUCUGGCAAAUAAAUAAAUGUACCGAUCCUACUUGAGAAGAGAUAACGCUGUCACUGUACUUACAUCCUGGUUUGUCAGAUUUCAUGAACAGAGCAAAAUAUUGCUUCCCUCGCUUGUAUAUUGUAUGCUCUGAAGAAUGAAAACUCACAGAUAGCCAAGGAGAGAGAACUUUCCCGAUCUGUUUUGAAGUUUUGGAACUUUUAGUUGCUACAAUGUAAUCCCAGCUACUCCGGAGGCUGAGGCAGCAGAACCGCUGGAACCUGGGAGGCAGAGGUUGCAGUGAACCGAGAUCGCGCCAUUGCACUCCAGCCUGGGCGACAAGAGCAAAACUCCAUCUAAAAACAAAAACAAAAACAAAGAAACAAAAAAACAAAAAACCAACCAACCAACCAAACAAAAAAGCACAUUGUGCUAUUUGAGUUGUUUUCACCUAGCUCCAAUGAACUGAUCCAAAUUUUGGACUCUUAGGGUCUGAUUUUUCUUGAAUGAUAGGAUUUAAGGUUUCUUGAUGAGGAGAUCAGGUACACAUUCUUCAAAUAAUUUUUUCUAAAUUGUAAUUCUGUUAGGCUUUGAAGGAAGUUGGACUGAACUGACUGAAUGGUCAGAAUGAAGAAACCCUUUAAGAACAGGGUUCAGCAUGAUGGAGCAAUCAGAGCAGGAAGAGGAAUUUAGGAGAUAUGUUUAAAGUUAUGAGUUACGGAAAAGAUAUUAGGUUAUAAAUUGCUAAUAUGUAAAGCUUCUAAAUAUCCCUCAAUCUGCUUUUGGACUUUGUUUCUGCAUAUUAAGAUGAUGCUCCUUGAAGUAAAAAUAAAGAUAUCUUGUUAAUUUAGCUAUUGUUUAUAAAGUUGGCUUAGACUAGAUUGAAUUUUUUUCCCCAAUAAGCAUUUUCAUGAGGGCUCACUGUUUUCUGAUAUGGUCUUGCUGUGAAACUGUUUCAUGAGUCGUUUUUUUCAGCCAGAUUAUAAACGGAAUCUAUGUCCUGUGAGCAAAGUGGCUAGGAGAACUCCUCUCAAGCCAAUAUUCCAGUUAAAUGAUCCAGAUUACCAGUUAAUUGCUCUGCCCUGAUGUAACUAGCUUAUGCAUCCUCCAUGUUCCAAGACAGAAGGAAAUAGUGCAGAUAACUAUAAAUUAUCCAGUGGGUUUUGAGCCAUUUAUAUAGCUAAUCAAAUAUUGGACAUGUUUAGCAUUUACCCAAAUAUACCUGAAUUGACAAAACCCACAUCCUCAGAACAGCAUAAUUUUUCUCAUUAAGCAGCAUAUAUAGUGAUUAAUAAAUUUAAAUUAUGAAGUCAACAUGUUAAUUGCUACUGUACUUGGAUGCUUCUAAUAUAAUUUUGUUUUAUUCGAUUUAUUUUGCAUACCUUAAUGUAUUUCAUAAAGAAAACACUGGUAUAAUCAAUUUAUUAAAGAAAUAAUGUAUACAGAACAAA